UCUUCCAAGGAGCGUUGCAGUCGGCCACAUGGCCGGUCAGGCUUGGAUGACCCCAACGACGCUCACCUGAU
rnacentral:ncRNA from 3 species